AUCGAACGCUGGCGGCAGGCCUAACACAUGCAAGUCGAGCGAGCGGCGGACGGGGGAGUAAUAUAUGGGGACUGCCCGUUAGAGGGGGUUAACUCCUGGAAACGGUAGCUAAAUCCCCAUACUAUCGGAUACACCAUAUGGGAGUAGCUACUAGGUGAGGUAAUGGCCCACCUAGGCGACGAUCCCUAGCUGGUCUGAGAGGAUGAUCAGCCACACUGCGACAGAGACACGGCCCUGACUCCGACGGAGGCAGCGGGGGGGAAGAUGGCACAAUGGGCGCAAGCGUGAUGCACCCAUGCCGCGUGUAUGAAUAAGGCAUGAGGGUUGUAAGGUACUUUCAGUCUGGAGGCGUUACCGACAGAAGAAGCACCGGCUAACUACGUGCCAGCAGCCGCGGUAAUUC
rnacentral:rRNA from 1 species